rnacentral:rRNA from 1 species
AUGAACGCUGGCGGCGUGCCUAAUACAUGCAAGUCGCGCGAACAGACGAGGAGCUUGCUCCUCUGACGUUAGCGGCGGACGGGUGAGUAACACGUGGAUAACCUACCUAUAAGUCUGGGAUAACUUCGGGAAACCGGAGCUAAUACCGGAUAAUAUAUUGAACCGCAUGGUUCAAUAGUGAAAGACGGUUUUGCUGUCACUUAUAGAUGGAUCCGCGCCGCAUUAGCUAGUUGGUAAGGUAACGGCUUACCAAGGCAACGAUGCGUAGCCGACAUGAGAGGGUGAUCGGCCACACUGGAACUGAGACACGGUCCAGACUCCUACGGGAGGCAGCAGUAGGGAAUCUUCCGCAAUGGGCGAAAGCUUGACGGAGCAACGCCGCGUGAGUGAUGAAGGUCUUCGGAUCGUAAAACUCUGUUAUUAGGGAAGAACAAAUGUGUAAGUAACUAUGCACGUCUUGACGGUACCUAAUCAGAAAGCCACGGCUAACUACGUG